rnacentral:rRNA from 1 species
AUUGAACGCUGGCGGCAGGCCUAACACAUGCAAGUCGAACGGUACCCUCUAGCAGCUUGCUGCUUUGCUUACGAGUGGCGGACGGGUGAGUAAUGUCUGGGAAACUGCCUGAUGGAGGGUGAUAACUACUGGAAACGGUAGCUAAUACCGCAUAACGUCGCAAGACCAAAGAGGGGGACCUUCGGGCCUCUUGCCAUCGGAUGUGCCCAGAUGGGAUUAGCUAGUAGGUGGGGUAACGGCUCACCUAGACGACGAUCCCUAGCUGGUCUAAGAGGAUGACCAGCCACACUGGAACUGAGACACGGUCCAGACUCCUACGGGAGGCAGCAGUGGGGAAUAUUGCACAAUGGGCGAAAGCCUGAUGCAGCCAUGCCGCGUGUAUGAAGAAGGCCUUCGGGUUGUAAAGUACUUUCAGCGAGGAGGAAGGUGUUGAGGUUAAUAACCGCAGCAAUUGACGUUACUCGCAGAAGAAGCACCGGCUAACUCCGUGCCAGCCGCCGCAGUAA